rnacentral:rRNA from 1 species
UACGUAGGGGGCUAGCGUUGUCCGGAAUCAUUGGGCGUAAAGAGCGUGUAGGCGGCUUGACAGGUCUGCUGUGAAAACUCGAGGCUCAACCUCGAGAUGUCGGCGGAAACCGUCUGGCUAGAGUCCGGAAGAGGAGAGUGGAAUUCCUGGUGUAGCGGUGAAAUGCGCAGAUAUCAGGAAGAACACCUAUGGCGAAGGCAGCUCUCUGGGACGGUACUGACGCUGAGACGCGAAAGCGUGGGGAGCGAACAGG